AAGUGCUGCCUGUGCUGGACCAUGUAUAAGUCUCCUGGAAUGGAGUGUCACAGAGGGUGAGAAUCCCGUCUUUGACAUGGACUGCCAGUGCAUUGUGGUGUGCUCUCAAAGAGUCGAGUUGUUUGGGAAUGCAGCUCUAAAUGGGUGGUAAAUUCCAUCUAAGGCUAAAUAUUGGCGAGAGACCGAUAGUGAACAAGUACCGUGAGGGAAAGAUGAAAAGAACUUUGGAAAGAGAGUUAAACAGUACGUGAAAUUGUUGAAAGGGAAACAUUUGAAGUCAGUUGUGUUAGCUUGGGGAUCAAUCCAGCUUUUCUGCUUGGGUGUAUUUCCUGGUUGACAGGCCAACAUCAGUUUUGACCAUUAGAAAAAAACCAAGGAAAUGUGGCACCUCUGGGUGUGUUAUAGUCCUUGGUUGUAUGUAGUGGUUGGGACUGAGGCAAUGCAGCACACCACAAGGCUGGGUUUUGCCACAUUUGUGCUUAGGAUGUUGGCAUAAUGGCUUUAAGUGACCCGUCUUGAAACACGGACCAAGGAGUCUAACAUGCCUGCAAGUGUUUGGGUGGAAAACCCAUGCGCGUAAUGAAAGUGAAAGUUGAGAUCCCUGUCAUGGGGAGCAUUGACACCCAGACCAGAACUUUUGGGACGGAUCUGUGGUAGAGCAUGCAUGUUGGGACCCGAAAGAUGGUGAACUAUGCCUGAAUAGGGUGAAGCCAGAGGAAACUCUGGUGGAGGCUCGUAGCGAUUCUGACGUGCAAAUCGAUCGUCGAAUUUGGGUAUA
rnacentral:rRNA from 1 species